CCUACGGGCGGCAGCAGUGGGGAAUAUUGCACAAUGGGGGAAACCCUGAUGCAGCGACGCCGCGUGAGUGAAGAAGUAUUUCGGUAUGUAAAGCUCUAUCAGCAGGGAAGAAAAUGACGGUACCUGAUUAAGAAGCCCCGGCUAACUACGUGCCAGCAGCCGCGGUAAUACGUAGGGGGCAAGCGUUAUCCGGCUUUACUGGGUGUAAAGGGGGCGUAGACGGCAAGGCAAGCCAGAAGUGAAAGGGCAGGGCUCAACCCUGUACAUGCUUUUGGAACUGUGGUGCUAGAGUGCAGGAGAGGUAAGUGGAAUUCCUGGUGUAGCGGUGAAAUGCGUAGAUAUUAGGAGGAACUCCAGUGGCGAAGGCGGCUUACUGGACUGUAACUGACGUUGAGGCUCGAAAGCGUGGGGAGCAAACAGGAUUAGAUACCCCAGUAGUC
rnacentral:rRNA from 1 species